CAAGAAUAAGAACAUAUAAGUACAUUAAGACUCCAAAAUCCCACGUUUUUCAUCUUUCUUCAAGAUAAAUUCAUUAGACAUACCCACAGUUCUAACAGAGAAGCACUGGAUUUCGAACAUUCCCCUAAAAGUGGCGAGUUCUGCCCAGGUAACGUACAACUGAGACUCCGCCAGCGAGACGGGCGAUGUGCCAUGUCACGACGCCCAGGCAAGCGGGACUAGCUGGGAUCGAAGCCGAAGGCAGGAGUCUGUGGGCCGUAGGCCGGGCUGUUUGGUCGCCCGGUCAUCGCGUCCAAGGCACAUUAAGAACAAGGAAAGUUUAUGUAUAAAAUCAACUGCAGUGUUAAUCACUAAUUAAACUACUUACCAAAUCUUCCAGCAGGUGCUCUCAAGCAAUCAGGUCUCCAACUUGGCAUUUUGUUCUUUCACUGUUUCAAAAUCCAUCACACAGAGGGAAGUAUAAACUUCACUAACUCCACCGAAUGCGUGUGCGCCGGGUACAGCCAUUUCCUGAGGGCAGCUGUCUAGGUGGCGCUAGUGAGGGGCACCUGCCUCGAAGCAUCCAUACCAGACACGUGCCCCUUUUCAUAGUCUGCUAGAAAGUCUUAAGAUUCUUUUAAUAGCUUGGAUUAUGGCGUGCCCGAAGAGCGAGAUCUAUAUCGUAAAGAGAUAUAAAUUCUCUAUAGUGUAGACCUAUAUGUGUUUUUUAAUGCCAGACCUUCUGUUUCAGAUUCGUACACAGGGACUUAUUUUAUGCAUGGACAUUUUUGUUAGUUUUCAGGAUGAGAGCAAAUUACAGAAAACCUGACCCAAGGACCCAUGCCCAAACCCAAGAUCCCCAUGGAUUCACGGACAAAAAUAAAAAAAAGGUGACCUGCGUUCCUCUGAAGAUUGCCCCUGCCGAUGGCGUGAAACGUAGGUCUUCCCGUGAGCUAACCUGUCCAGGUUUCCGGCGGAUCCUGGAACUGUGUCCGGUGAUUACGACGGACGGACUGUGUGGUUACCUGCCUCCGGCUUGUGAACUUCUGAUUCUCCGGAGGGCACUAUUUCGCCAGCUUAAGCGUCACCACACCAGGCAUCACCGACAGGGCCAAGGAAGACAUUCUCGGCGAUCAUGAACGUGUAGUUCAGGGAGGAGAGCUUUGCAAGAGUGUCCUCUCAUGUGAUGAGCCGCGUCAUGGAGAUGUCGUGUGUUCUGUCGUGGCUCCUUCGAACACGAUAGAAUGUGGGCAUGACACUAAAGAAUACAUCCGAGAUGGUUAAAGGAUCGGAUGUAAUACUCCAUCAGCAAGCUCAUUCAAGUCUCGAAGAAAAGAAACAAAACAUCCGUGGGAUCAGCUAAGAUCUCAUCAAAGGGAAAUGGUCACGUCGAUGUGAGGCGAUUACUUAAGAUACAUCAGAGAAAAAUGCGAUCCUUCAGAACUAUACGAGAGGGUAUGUGCACGCAGACUGAUUCAUUCGCCAUCCAACCAAGCUAUACCAAAAGAUCUGAACAUAAGAAACACCGUUCAUAGUGACUAUAUAUGAUUCUCAUAUCAGCGAGAUUUAUGAGAAAUGUGUAAUAAACCGACUUUAACCAAGCCUCUGUCCGGAUCAUCUGAGUAUUCCUGGAAGAACUGACUCAUGGCAAGUGGAAAAUACCAGGAAAUAAAAAACACUUUGAAGGCAUGUCAAAACCAGGUGCUUCAUUAGUUGCACAUGUCGCACAUAAUGGAUCAAAUAAUGGAGAAAUUAUAUAACUGGAUGGCUUACAUUUCUUACAGCACCUGCAUGGAUGACAGGUAGUGACAGUUGGUUUUGUGCGUUUGAAAGAUAUAUUUAACGAAGUUCUACACCAAAAGUAGCAUUUAUGUACCUUUUUUUAAAUCCAGUUUUACCUAACCAAUAUGUCGCACAUAUAACGAGACGCACAAUAUCGAAGUAUAUAUCCCAGCAAACAUGGAUGGGUCCGUCUUUUUCAUGGACUUAGACUGUGUGUUUUUGAUUCACAUAGUAUUAUGUACACAUAUUGUUCUUUAUGUUCCACUUCAUAUAUAGAGUACGGUAAAAUAGUGAAUACGUCCCUCAUUCCGGUUGUUUAAAAAGAGCCAUUAUUGAUGCGGACUUUGUUACAGAUCUUUGUUAAAGCUACUAAUGUCAGGUCUUUAAA